AUUCCUUGGACAUUAUGGGUGAUUUUUCUAGCAAUGCGUACCACGACUCUUUCGUUAAGGGAUGUGAACAGAAGAAUGGUGAUGAAAAGAAAGAAGGAGAAGGAGCCGGAAGGAAUAACGAAACUUCCAACAUUCCUGUUCAUGAAGGUUGCUUGUUCAAUGGUGAAUGUAUUCAUCUGAGAGUAUACUGUCCAGAAGAGUAUACAAGUGGACCAUAUGGGUAUAAGUUUAAGUACCAUUUUCACUUCUUCAACUUGUGUAACUGUUGAAACUUUCCAAGGAUUGUCUCUGUUUUCAGUGGCAAUUGCAUGAUCAUCCAUGAUUGCUGCCUUGUCUAGACAACUGAAAAAUUAGCAAUUGCAGUGUUGGAUUUUCUACAAUGGAGAGUGCAGAUUCACAGUUACGUCUUAACAUUACGAUUUCAAUCAUGACAGAACGUUCGGAGGAUAAAAACACAGUUGUUAGCAUCAGAACCUGCCACUGCAGAUAUUUUCCGUCAUUUAUACAGAUAAUUCAAAGUAAUUUCCAUUAUUUCAUUCCUGAGAAACACACUUCGUCUGCACAGUAAUGGAGAAGAACACUGGUUUCAUUUCUAAAGGCGCCAUUUAUUUCCAAGUAGAACAAUCUUUUUGAAGCAGGAGUUCAAAGUAAUUGUUCUAUAUAACUAAGUGAAUUGAGCUAGCAGAGAUGAUUGAGGCCAUGGUUCCAAUUUAGAAAUUAGACACUUAAAAAUGGGAAAAAGUGCUCUCGUUGAUCAGAGUUACACAAGUAACUUUAAAAUUUCACAUUCUUGGUCAAAUUUAUCAGCAAAACAUAUGGAGAUAAAUUGAUUUCAUUUACCUGAGUCGUUCGGUGUGGGGAACUUCUGUGUUGUAAUAUUCAUUCAACAAGCUGGGAUGAGAAGGAUAAGGAAGGGUCCUCUUCUUCCAAGCCAAGAAAAUGACCCUCCACAAGACAGUUAAAGGACUACCUUGAGGCUUCCUAAAUCGGUAUAAAGGCGUCCCACACAGCAAUAUAGCAACAGCUAUAAUCAUCGUCCCAGCCGAUAUUCCAUAUCCCCAUCCUCUGCCUACAUGGUCUUGUAUAUACACUAAAACUGUAACGGCGAACAAGGAUCCAAGGCUAAUAGAGAAAUAAAAUCUAUUGAAGAAAUAGAUCAUUGCCUUCUCCUCUUUAGGAUUUGAUAUGUCAAACUGAUCAGAACCAAAACCAGAGACAUUUGAUUUGAUUCCACCGCCUCCCAAUGCUAUUGUAUAGAGAGCGAUAUAAAGCAUAGCUAGUUGCCUGCCGCUGGCCUCGAUACACUGCUGUCUCCUCGAGUUACUGCACGGAGGAGGCCUCAUGCUAGAAAUGCUUGUGGCCAAUGUCAAUAAUGUUACUCCCUGGUUCAAUGUGUAGGAUUGAUGAAAUUAUUUCUCUUGUAAUUCAUUUACGCAAAAAGUUUUAAAGGCUAUAAAAUUUGCAAUUUAUGCAUCUACAGAGAUAUUAUAUGAGAGACAAAAAUAUAGUGCUGAUAAAGCUUUCGUUACGUGUUUGAUAGAUUCAAUUGGACAACAUUAAACAUGAUAUACGAAGGUUACUGGAUGCUAAUGCUCUGGCUUACCAAAGCAGUUAUAGAAGCAAAGAUUGCAACUGUCAAAUAACGGCCAAGUUUAGCAUCUGCCAAGAAACCACCAAGGAGGCCUAGAAGAUUGAGAGUUCCCAUGAAGUUUGUCACAAUGUUUGCAGAUUGUGCAGAUGAAAGAUGCAAGAUUCCUACUAAAUAAGUCACCAAGUUCAUCGAUAUUCCCAUGACACAAAUUCUCUCAGAUAACUCAGUCCCUGAAACAAGAAUUAAAUACAUUAUUAGCUACUUUUCAAACAUAUAUUACAUCAAAAUGUUAAAAGCAUCACCUAAGAUAAGACCGGCCGCCAGCCAUCCACCAGUUCGUGACCUAUCGACUGGCUUUCCUCGAAAAUCCACCAGAGUUUUAUCACUCUCUCCAUCUUUGCCUCCAUUUUGUUGCACCAAAACCUGUCAUAAACAUUGAUAUGAUGAAAACAAUAUUAUCCAUGCAUUACUACAUAAUUAUCAAGUUGUUCGAAAUAUGGGCUUACCAUUUUCGAGAGAGAAAAGGAGAAGUGAUUCAAUUUCCUUACGCUAGAAGUACGUGUACAACUUCUGUGCUAAGAUUAUGAAUAUAAAGGAAUAUGUCAUAUGUGGAAAUGAAUGAUUGAGGAGAAAACUAAUUGUUGGCAAGAGUUACAUUCAUUUCCCCCUACGUUCUUUGUAUAGUACAAAAAGUGUUUUAUUCAAGAAUUUUUGGAAGUAUCAUCUUGUGGCUGUAAUGUUAAGAACCGUAUUCAGAUCAGAGCUACAGAGAAAUGACAAUGACACUUCAAAGAAAUGGUUCAUAUCUCUAUAGGGCAAUUUCGUGGGACCAGAUUCUGAUAAAAACUCAACACUUGUUACGAUUUGUAUCCCGUGAGUGGGGACAUUGAUCUUAGGCGAAAGUUUGGUAGUAUCUUCACCUGUUGGCUUAGGAAUCGAUGUCUGGUAUUGAUUCUGUCCGAACAUAGUGUUAGACGUGAUACAUCGGUGUAUUGAAUAAAGUUUUGGGUUUAUGAAUUAGUUUGGAAGAGCUUGACAAGUUGAAGAGGGUCCAUGAAGAAAUUGGCAAAAUGACUUUUACACGUAAAUGGCCAAGUACUUGCACCUUGUAAUGAUGACUCAUUGCAAAGGCCAAAAACACCAAGAAAUUUAUCACUCCAAGAACUGCAAGCAUCCAGUAGAAAUUUUCCAAUUUUCCCUUAUUGAGAUUGCUCCUUAGCCAGGUUCCUUUUGUUGCUUUAUCGACUAGAGAAACCAGCAGGCUACUCACAAAAUAACCCAUUGAGAGUGUGCUGAGGAAUAAGCCGGUGCUCAUUGAUUUCAUCCUUUCGGGUGCCUCUCUAAUGAAAAAUUCCAGCUGACCGACGUAUGCAAAUGCUUCACCGGCUCCCACGAGGAAGAACUGAGGGACAAGCCAGAAAGCUCUUAUAUUGAUAAUAUGAUGUGUGGCAUUUUCUCUUCUUUUCUUUUCUACAAGUGCAGCAGCUAUCAUGCCGAUGAUUGAAAAUACCAGUCCAAUUCCUACUCUUUGAAGGCUCGUGAUUCCUUGGACAUUAUGGGUGAUUUUUCUAGCAAUGCGUACCACGACUCUUUCGUUAAGGGAUGUGAACAGAAGAAUGGUGAUGAAAAGAAAGAAGGAGAAGGAGCCGGAAGGAAUAACGAAACUUCCAACAUUCCUGUUCAUGAAGGUUGCUUGUUCAAUGGUGAAUGUAUUCAUCUGAGAGUAUACUGUCCAGAAGAGUAUACAAGUGGACCAUAUGGGUAUAAGUUUAAGUACCAUUUUCACUUCUUCAACUAGUGUAACUGUUGAAACUUUCCAAGGAUUGU
rnacentral:lncRNA from 1 species